UAGGGAAUCCUCCACAAUGGACGAAAGUCUGAUGGAGCAACGCCGCGUGAGUGAAGAAGGGUUUCGGCUCGUAAAACUCUGUUGUUAGAGAAGAACAUAUCUGAGAGUAACUGUUCAGGUAUUGACGGUAUUUAACCAGAAAGCCACGGCUAACUACGUGCCAC
rnacentral:rRNA from 1 species